UGCUAUACAUGCAGUCGAACGCUUCUUUUUCCACCGGAGCUUGCUCCACCGGAAAAAGAGGAGUGGCGAACGGGUGAGUAACACGUGGGUAACCUGCCCAUCAGAAGGGGAUAACACUUGGAAACAGGUGCUAAUACCGUAUAACAAUCAAAACCGCAUGGUUUUGAUUUGAAAGGCGCUUUCGGGUGUCGCUGAUGGAUGGACCCGCGGUGCAUUAGCUAGUUGGUGAGGUAACGGCUCACCAAGGCCACGAUGCAUAGCCGACCUGAGAGGGUGAUCGGCCACAUUGGGACUGAGACACGGCCCAAACUCCUACGGGAGGCAGCAGUAGGGAAUCUUCGGCAAUGGACGAAAGUCUGACCGAGCAACGCCGCGUGAGUGAAGAAGGUUUUCGGAUCGUAAAACUCUGUUGUUAGAGAAGAACAAGGAUGAGAGUAACUGUUCAUCCCUUGACGGUAUCUAACCAGAAAGCCACGGCUAACUACGUGCCAGCAGCCGCGGUAAUACGUAGGUGGCAAGCGUUGUCCGGAUUUAUUGGGCGUAAAGCGAGCGCAGGCGGUUUCUUAAGUCUGAUGUGAAAGCCCCCGGCUCAACCGGGGAGGGUCAUUGGAAACUGGGAGACUUGAGUGCAGAAGAGGAGAGUGGAAUUCCAUGUGUAGCGGUGAAAUGCGUAGAUAUAUGGAGG
rnacentral:rRNA from 1 species